UACGUAGGGGGCGAGCGUUGUCCGAAUUUACUGGGCGUAAAGCGCGCGUAGGCGGGUUCUUAAGUGAGGGGUGAAAGGUUCGGGCUCAACCCGAACACUGCCUUUCAUACUGGGAGCCUUGAGUGCGGGAGAGGCGAGUGGAAUGGUCGGUGUAGCGGUGAAAUGCGUAGAUAUCGAUCGGAACACCCAUGGCGAAGGCAGCUCGCUGGCCUGCAACUGACGCUGAGGCGCGGAAGCGUGGGGAGCAAACAGG
rnacentral:rRNA from 1 species